GACGUAGGGCGCGAGCGUUGUCCGGAUUUAUUGGGCGUAAAGAGCUCGUAGGCGGCUUGUCGCGUCGUCCGUGAAAACCUGCGGCUCAACUGCAGGCUGGCGGUCGAUACGGGCAGGCUGGAGUUCGGAAGGGGAGACUGGAAUUCCUGGUGUAGCGGUGAAAUGCGCAGAUAUCAGGAAGAACACCCGUGGCGAAAGCGGCUCUCUGGAACGGUACUGACGCUGAGACGCGAAAGCGUGGGGAGCGAACAGG
rnacentral:rRNA from 1 species